ACGCACGCUGGCGGCGUGCUUAACACCUGCAAGUCGAACGGAAAGGCCCUGCUUUUGUGGGGUGCUCGAGUGGCGAACGGGUGAGUAACACGUGAGUAACCUGCCCUUGACUUUGGGAUAACUUCAGGAAACUGGGGCUAAUACCGGAUAGGAGCUCCUGCUGCAUGGUGGGGGUUGGAAAGUUUCGGCGGUUGGGGAUGGACUCGCGGCUUAUCAGCUUGUUGGUGGGGUAGUGGCUUACCAAGGCUUUGACGGGUAGCCGGCCUGAGAGGGUGACCGGCCACAUUGGGACUGAGAUACGGCCCAGACUCCUACGGGAGGCAGCAGUGGGGAAUAUUGCACAAUGGGCGGAAGCCUGAUGCAGCAACGCCGCGUGCGGGAUGAAGGCCUUCGGGUUGUAAACCGCUUUCGCCUGUGACGAAGCGUGAGUGACGGUAAUGGGUAAAGAAGCACCGGCUAACUACGUG
rnacentral:rRNA from 1 species